UUGAUAGAAUAUAUUACUCGACGAAGUUUCAAAGCAGUAGGUGGCGGUAACGAGCUUCAGAAGAAGUUCCCGCCUGGUGAAGGCGCCGGCGGGAAUCGACUCUGAGGAAGACGCUGACUGAAUCUGCAAAAAGUUGGAUCUGUGCACUUAUUUUUUCGACGAUAAUCAUCACGGGUCUCAAAGUAAAAUAUCAAACUAAGGCAUCUGCAAACAAAUGCUGUGAAGAUAAACCACACGCAUCCACAAAACCUGUACACAUAUGCCCUGCAUAUCUACAAUCAUGCAGUUAACUUCUGUCCGCUGAUAAUCACCCAGUCUAUCGUGAGUGAACCAACUGCGGUAACGAUUGUAUAUCUGAGAUUCUGUAUGUUUGAUUCCUGCUGGAAAAUAUAUAUAACUCACCCAUGAUUCAACCUCACCUUCCCUGUCCUUAGCACUAUUCAGUCAUUAAGAGACUGAAUAGUGCUAAGGACAUUCAUUUUAUCUGAGUGAUACCAAAAGCUCUCUCACUGUAACUCAGCGCAUCCUCACAUAUCCUGUCAUCUAUACAACAUCUCAAGUGCAUGUAAAAGCUGUCUCCUCUCACUGCCGUUGAUCAUCUCAUUUUAUGAUCAUUAAAGUUGGUUGAAUUGAUCCUCCCUUCUGACUUCUGAGUGUUCUGACUGACACCCCCUGCUCGCUACUAGCCCUAAAAAUUCAGGUAGCCCUUCGCUACAGGUGGAAAUGGCCAAAAUUCACUGAGGGGGGUUCUAGCUUGGAAGACAGAGUUUUAAUUAUAAUACCCUUUAUAAUCUAUAAUAGCAUUUAUUAACAACUUAUUUCAUAUUUAAUUUAAACCUUCUUGUAUAUUAAGACUGGCACCUGCAAAUCUGGCCAAAUUAAAAAUAUGCUGCGUGUCACAUAUUAUAAUGUGAGCAUAAUUUUUAUUUAAAAAAAGGUCUCUAAAAAUGUUUCCAAUUGGCCUGUAUAGCUAAGCCCUUCAAAACACUUCUUAUUUACUGGUACAGUAUUGCAUGAUUUGUAGAUUAUAUUUAAUAGUUUACACACACAUACAUACAUACAUACAUACAUAGUCAAUCCAAAAUUUAUUCAGACACCUGCAACAUUUCUAACAUUAUCAGUUUAUUUGCUAUAGUGUAGAAAAAAGUAGUUUUACUUUUUAUGUUUAAACACCACAUCGUUGCUUGUGUUUACA